CAACCCAAUCAUGAUUCUGCAAACCCUCCAGCCCAGAAUGUGCAGAUUGAACAACUGCCAGUGGAUAAUAACACAAAUAUGAGGGCUACUCAUGACAGGGAUCAUGCAUCUGAAAUUCCUCCAAGAAUGAACUUGAGUAACAAAGAAGGCAGGCUCUCUUUAAAAAGGAAGCCACUUAAUGGAGAUAAUGUCAUUCAUGAAACUUCUGAUCAAGUUUCUUUAAGGAGAUCAAAAAGAUUGAUUGUUGCCAACAACAAAAUUCAA